UGAAGGUUGGCUUGGCAAGACCUGCCUGACAAGGUGGUCAUUAAAUCCUAACAGGCAACUACUGAUCUGAAACUCCUUGGGGCAGUGGGCUGGACCAGGCCUUUGUGAUCAAGGGGGUUUGGAGCUGCAGCUGUGGGCACUUUGCCAAAGGCUGAGACAGAAGGCAAGUGUUAGAAGAGGAUUUAAACAGAGUGAAGCUUCACAGAGAUGAAGGAUGCAGAAUAUGCUCUUCUCAGUUAGUGUACUUGUUCAGUACCUGGAAAAAAGAGACCCCUCUUGUCUUCAAGCCUGUUUUUCAGAGAGAAAACAAAACCACCACAAAACAACCACUAAAAAAAUGCUCAACAGCUGCUUCCUGAACUGGAGAUGUUUCUGAUCCCAAAAACCUGGCUUGCUUGUCACAUCUGUGUAUUGAGGGACCUUCGUAUAUGAAAGAAGUAGAGGCUGCCUGUUGCAAGUGGUUGUGCUUCGCAGAUGGACAGGCAAACACAGCAGAUGGAAGAUGUCACAUUCUGGAGACCAGAAAAUACUUUCUAAAUACUUUCUUCUUCAGUGUCUGGAUCUUGUUUUUCUGAUUUUUUUUUUAUUAUUUUUUAAAAAUUAUAUACGUAUAUAUAUAUAUUUUUUUUUCUGAGAAGAGCAUUUAGUGAAAGAAUGGAGGCUGGGUUUGCUGUCAGAAGGCAGAGCUGCAAACAUGGCUUAACAACGUUAAGGACUUCUACACCUGUCUACACCAAGAAGAGGAAGAAAUUCUCAAUGAACAAAGAAAGUGUCAGGAAAACCACAGAGCCAUCUGACUUCCAGGCAGACUGUUAUGAUUCACAUGCUCCAUUGCUUACAGAAUACCACACUAGAGAGGGAUGCUACAAGGAAGAGUUAAAAUCUAUUGUGUGGAAGGUGUAUCUUACUUGCCUUCAGAUAUUUACAAGUUAAGUAAAAACUUGUUAACCUUUGCUCCUUUUAAUGUCAGCUGAGGAUAUACUCUACUUCUAUGAAUGCUGCUCUGAAUGUAGGGCCUCCUAUUUAUUUCCAUGAACACUACAAAUGCUGUGAAGAGUACAAUAAUGCUCUUUGACAGAGAAAAUUGUCAGCUACAAAACACUAUUUUUCAGCAUAGUCACCACCAUUAGCUGUGCAUUUUCAUCAGUGAUGAUCAUGAGCCUGCAUGUGAUGCCCAUAAAUGUCAAUGCCAUUAGAGGUGGCCCACUGUCACUGUUACCACUUCUGAAAUGCACCACUCACUGUCUCACUGUGCUCACAUCCUCUGUUUGGUCACCAUAAACAUUCAGCAAGUGUUGAUGAAUGUCAGUGGGUUCCGUUUUUUUCUGAUUGGAGGAAUUCAGUGAAACACCUUUGCUUCACAUGCACUUCCAUGUCAGACUGCCUCUCUGCUACCACUUGCCACAUGACUAUAAAUUUAAUGGAGUAUUGAUGGGAAGGUUCAACCUCUACUGACAUACCAUCAUCAUUUGACUCUGAAGUUGUGGGCUAAUAUAAUAAAAUAGAGGCAUUACUUUUGGAUCAGCCUUGUAUUAUUAACAAGAACAGAUUCUAUAACGCUAUGAGGUUG
ensembl:lncRNA